ACACAAUAUACUUAGGUAUUCGAAGCCGACAGAGUGGGGAGAAUGACAGAUGGAGGUUUUACUGGAAAAUGGUGUAUGAGUAUGCAGAUGUGAGUAUGCUGCAUUUGCUAGCCACCUUUCUGGAAAGUGCUCCACAGCUGGUCCUGCAGCUCUGCAUUAUCGUACAGACUCAUAGCUUACAGGCCCUCCAAGGUUUCACAGCGGCAGCCUCCCUUGUGUCUUUGGCUUGGGCCUUGGCCUCUUACCAGAAGGCCCUCCGGGACUCUCGAGAUGACAAAAAGCCCAUCAGCUACAUGGCUGUCGUCAUCCAGUUCUGCUGGCACUUCUUCACCAUCGCUGCCAGGGUCAUCACCUUUGCCCUCUUUGCCUCAGUUUUCCAGCUCUAUUUUGGGAUCUUCAUCGUUCUUCACUGGUGCAUCAUGACCUUCUGGAUUGUCCACUGUGAGACAGAAUUCUGUAUCACCAAAUGGGAAGAGAUCGUGUUCGACAUGGUGGUGGGCAUCAUCUACAUCUUUAGCUGGUUCAACGUCAAGGAAGGCAGGACACGCUGUAGGCUCUUCAUUUACUAUUUUGUGAUCCUUUUGGAAAACACAGCCUUGAGUGCCCUCUGGUACCUCUACAAGGCUCCCCAGAUUGCAGAUGCAUUUGCCAUCCCAGCGCUGUGUGUGGUAUUCAGCAGCUUUGUAACUGGCGUUGUUUUUAUGCUGAUGUAUUAUGCCUUCUUUCACCCUAACGGACCCAAAUUUGGGCAGUCACCAAGUUGUGCUUGUGAGGACCCAGUCACUGCCUUCACUCUGCCUCCAGAAGUGGCCACAAGCACUCUACGGUCCAUCUCCAACAACCGCAGUGUUGUCAGUGACCGUGACCAGAAAUUUGCAGAGAGGGAUGGGUGUGCACCUGUCUUUCAGGUGAGGCCCACAGCCCCAUCCACCCCAUCAUCUCGCCCACCACGAAUUGAAGAAUCUGUCAUUAAAAUUGACCUGUUCAGGAAUAGGUACCCAGCAUGGGAGAGACAUGUUUUAGACCGAAGUCUCCGAAAGGCCAUUUUAGCCUUUGAAUGCUCUCCAUCUCCUCCAAGGCUGCAGUACAAGGAUGAUGCUCUUAUUCAGGAGCGGUUGGAGUAUGAAACCACUUUAUAAAACAAAAGGACUUGGAGGAGCCACAACCUCCAGAUAAAGGGGUGACAACAGGGCUGUGGCAAUAAUGAAACUUCAUCCUAAAGUAGGGCAAUGAGCUGUCAUGCUCUUAGUCUGCACAUUAUCAUGAUUAUUGUCUGACCCUCCAUCAGCUGACUGCCUGCUGCUGGUCUCCUUUCAAAACAGCAGCCCCGAGAGUCUCCUGCUCCACCUGAAGAGAACUUGUCAGCUCAGUAGACUCCUGGUUGCUACCAACUCCUCCUGCAUUGUCUUUCAGUGAAUGCACCAGAGGGUACUAUGAUUAUGGAAAAUGUUGCCUCUGAUCAAUAGGGUUUUGAUGGAAUUAACUGAUCUUUGCAUAAAAAUAUAUCCAGCCAUACACAUACACACACAUACACACAUACACACACACAUACACAUAUACUAACACACACAACACCAGUCUUCUGUAAAAAUAGCUUAGGUGAUUUUCUUCUUGAUGCAAAGUGCUGAUUCCCACAAGAAUAUAAAAACAAAGAGAGAGGCAAUAUAUCCCUCAAGACUCCAGAAAAACAAACAGUACUGCUUAGAAAAAACUCAUAAACCAUUCUCAUUUGGAAACCCAUACCAUGAGUGAAAAGCCUAUCCAGUGGACAGCAAACUCAAGUGUUUACAUGUGUAUUAGAAUUGAUGAAAUGGUUUGUUUUCAACACAUUUCAGGAUUGGUUUUUAUUUAAAGUUUUCAGUUGAGAACAUCUUUUAUGACAGAAAUCCUAUGCAGCACAUGUGUGGAUUUUGGCAAGACCAAGGAGAUCCAUAACUUAGUGAUGUAAAUUAAAUGGUAAUCAUGAUUCAGUAUUCAAUUGCAAAAAUUUAAUACAUACAGGAAGAAGAAAUGGGCGGUGGGGUGGGAAGGCAAAAUGAGCAUCCGAUUUCCCAGCUGUGCAGCUCACGUUGGAAUGUAAAGUCAGGGCGGCAGGAGAGAAUCGCCUGUAACUGGAUGCAUUCAGGUCGUGGAAUGCAUGGUUGCUCUAUGAUCGCAGGCAGGCACCUUUCCAGAACACGCCAUGCCCCAUCUUUCUAGUGCCAAACAUCGUCCAACCACAGGAUUGACAUGGAAGCCCUGAACAACUGAGAAUGAAUGGCGCGAGCCCCACAAAAACAGAAGCUAGAGUGAACACUCAAGUUCUCCGUCGUGUACAGAGUCCCCCAUGACCACCAAUUCAAGGUCAAAGGCUUUUAGAGGCUUUGGGACACUUCUUAGUAAGUAUGAGCAGACAAACGCAGUGAAUAUGCUAUGAGAAAAACCCUUCUGAACUGAGUGAGGGCUUAUCACUAGAUCCAGCUAAGAUUUGUAUUUGAAUCAUUUGUAAAGUCGCACUCUUACAACAAGCUUCUGGUUUUAAAUACCUCCGUACAAGCAAGUAAACAUUCCCCGCUUUCUGUUCCCAGUGUCCUCGGUCAUGGUGCUUUUUGUUGCAUUAAAAGUGCCGGUCAAACUUUGAUAGUAUUUUUUUAUAGUUGGUGCAGAGUGGAAUAACUCAUGGAUUAUUUCAAUAUUUUUGUAAUAAAAAAUAUAGGGUAUACAUAUAGACAUCAUCACUUUUUUUAUAGAUGUGGAAUCGUUUAAAAUACUUUCAGAAUCAUAAUUACUUGGGAUGUCAGAAACUGGUCCACAAAUUCCAUCAGCCUGCCUCAGCAGAUUGAGAACACUUGUUUCUUGCAAGAUCACCUUACUUUGCAGUGUCGGUGCCCCCAGGAACCUGGCCAGGGGUGCUAUCAGAACAUCAGGUGAUGAGAGAAUCAGCUUAACUAGAAAGGGCUUGUCAAGACUGGCCAUUGUUUCCCAGGAAAUCAAAGAUAACCAUCUUGGAACUUGUCAAGCUUUACUGAAGGUGAUUUGCGUUAAUUAAUUCAACAGACCCUUUAAUCUUGCAAAUUCUUGACUUGUAAUAUUGUAGCCAAGCUACUGCAAGGGAAAAUGAAUCAGUUAGUGGAAAGGAGCACUUCGUUCCAUGUCGUGCGGUGAUGUGCCCAGGCCAGAAGAGAAAGACCCCUGUGAGGCAGAGCACUAAUGAAUUCGUGCUACCUGCUUCCUCAUCAUUCAUGCUAUGAAUAUUCAUCCACUUCAUUAGUUUUGGCCAGUAAGCACUGCUUUGAAAAAAAAAAAGGAAAAAAAAGUCAAUGGAUUCCUGGGGGCUUGCAUAGCUCAGAGAAUGGGUACUAGGUCAUAAGACUUACUUUAAAUGGAUACAAAUCUACUUGUGUUUGGAAACGAAAAAAAAAAAUCAUUGUCAUCUGUUUAAUGAUUGAUCUCUCUGAGUACAAUUGCUGCCCUUCAUUUCUUGAGAGUACUGUCGUCAGCACUGUAAUAACCAGUUUAUAAAAACUGAAUUUAUAAUUCCAUUUCAGAGGUAAAAACUGCAUAGAUGUACCGGUAGCUAUUGAAUAAUUUUACUCCUGCCUUCCUAGGUGGUGACAUUGCCAGUUUCGAACUGAGAUUCAUUUGUGUGUGGAAUUGGCUCUCCUGUUGCUUCUCAGACCCUUGCAAAACCUUGGUUGUAAGGUCUAAAAUCACCAAUCUCACAUUCUUAAUGUACUUAAAAGUAAACAGGUAGUCUCAUAAUUAAAAAUUGUGAGUUUUUUUUCCAAUCACUUCUCUGUUUAAAGAAAACUUUGAGCUGCGAGGUAAGAAUGAAUUUACUUCACAUGGAAGUAUAGUUUCAGAGUUUGCGAGGAGUCAGGCAUGCAUACAUUCUUAUCAAGUUUUCUGUCUAACCUUUUGAUAUAACUAUUCUAGGAGUUAACCCCAAAUGAAUGAGUGAAAGUCAUUGGAGUUAUCUAAUAAGCAAUCUAACAGAAAAAUUAGAAGAAGCAGGGAUCAUUUUUCUUGUGUUUCAAAGAUGUUUCUUCUUCCUAAGUGAUCAUCUUGGUGAUUAUCUCCAAGAUGUACCAAGAGCUACUGAGCGACAGUCCCAGUACAGGUGCCAGUAUUGUGCUGCAUCCCCUACACUGGCAAGUCAUUUUUCAAAACUAGCUCUUGGCACAAGCACUGAAAUUUAAUGGUAAAAAGUGGCCUACCACCAUGUGACUUAUUUUCAAUUGCAAGGCAAUGAAAACUAACAAAUCGAAGAAAAUGUUAAUUUCCUGAACUCCAAAGCCAAAAUUGACACAAAGAUACUCUGUAAUGUACAAUGAGUUGGUUGACUGUGGGGACACAGGAGCAAUAAGCAAUCCUCUUAAAGUAAGUUCAUGAACGAGAGUGACUGUGAGUGGUAUUGGGACAUAAGCUUUCAAUUCAUGUAGAGGUCCAGGUGUGGUGACUGAAGAGGAAACUUCUUAGUGGCUCAUCAGUAAUAUUUGCCUUUUUAUAGAGCAGAAGUUGCGGUAGCCCCUGCCAUUUUAUCACUAUGACAAAAGAUGCGUCUGUUUAUGACAGGCCAAGGCAUGACUGAAGUGGAAAGAUAGAGAUGUCAGUGGUUUCAUGUCUGAGACUAACUCUAUCCUUAAGGGAACUUUCCCGCAUGACAGUCCUUCUUGGUCAUUGGGCCCUACGCCGCAAGCUGGCUCUGCAUGCCAAGAGCUUCUGAUGGAUUAUAAAAUGAGAUAUUUUAAAGAAUUUUAAGUACUCUUGCUUGUAGAACAUGAACCAUUGAGUUAUCCCUCAUGUUAACAACAAUGAGAUUCAGGGUUACCAUGGCCUUACUCAUCACCCCAUUGUAAAUAUACCAUGAUAUCACAAGAACCCCUGUGUUCAAAUUCAUUAAACUAGGUUUCAAGUAUUAGCUGAAUUGUUUAAACAUUUUUAGAUCUUGAUUCUGCCAUCACCUAGUCUGUGCAUCUAUCCCCAAAUUAGAAAAAUAUUUCUUGUGGGAAUAAUUUUCAGAAUAAUGGAAGUGAAAAAGAGUGGACAGUUAAGCAAUUUGUCAAUGUAGACAAAACUACUAGGCCACUGAUAGCCCUGAAGCUCUGAUUUUUCCUCAUUACUGAAUUUCUUUACAUUGGGGGCUUUCAACAUCUGAAUUUUCUGGAUGAUUGCUAAACCAUCUUCACUAAACUGCAAUAGACACUAUGUUGUUAUUAAAUAAUAAAGACUGUCCACAUAAAUGCAAAUAUCCCAAUGAAAAGUGAAGAAGUAUGUCACUCAAGGAGCAAAUUUGAUCUUUGUGAUGUCAAACAUCUGGAUAUUUGGGAAAAUCCAGACGUUGAAUCGUGCAGUUUUCAUCUGGUUGUCUGGUAUUGACUAGAGAGACAGAAAAUACUCAGGUGUUAUAGGUAAUAUAAUUUAACUUUCUUGUGCAGUAAUCUAUGGGUAAUGAUAUUCUGCUGCUAAAAAUCUCUUUGUCCUGCAAAGAGAAAUAAAUAAUGCAGAGCAAAUGCUAUUUAAUUUUUAUUUGCUUUCAGCAAACACAUGAAUGGGAGAGGUUUGAGAGGCUGUCCUGGGUGUAUUCAGAUGUUUUUGCACCGCAGACCUCUUUCAGAGUGACAGUCCUGGAGGCCUGCCACUCGAUCCCUUCCUGGCAGCAAACCUUUUAAUUCAGCCCUUUUUUAAUCUUUCAUUAUUUUAUAAUUGCCUCUCUGCUCUUCACAUACUCUUAAUCAUUCACAAAGUUUACUUGACAGAAUUGUCAAAGGAUAUACAAAUUUGUUAACUUUUAUUCUUCAAAUCAGAGUUUUAAUUUUAAGGAUUUCUUAUGCCUUUAAUGGUAAAUACAGUUUAAACUGCUUCAUGUAAUUAUUUCAUGGCAAAUUUCAUGGUGUCUAUAGAAGUAAAAGCUAUUUUUCCCAAAUUAAAAAAAAUACACUUCUUUUGUUUGGUUUGCAUUGUUGAUGUCAUUUUGAUUGCCAAGGACUAACUGGUUAUCACACAUUGGAAUAUUAGUGUUUUCUUUGUAGUCACAGGAAAAAAGAAAAAGAUGACAUCGAAGGGAAAUUCACUUACCGGAAGGAAAGUUUGAGAUAUUCAUACAACUCUUGUAUUUAUGAUUACUUGUGGACGUUUCUUCCUUGUUUCAUCUCAUUCGGCUCUGGAUUGGUGAGCGUGUGUAUUUUCUCAAAUUGUGUGCUUACCUCACUUACUGUUCUGAAGCUGGGCAGAAAAACAGGCAAGCUAUUCAGACCAAUUUUCUUUUAAGUGCGCUUAUGUUGCAGAACUUGCUUCCGGCACUGACAACAAGCAGAUACACAGAGCCCUGGAAGAUAUUCAGCUAUGCAAACGUCAUAAGAGGAUUUCCAGAGAAAAUCUGAAAGUUUGUAGGUUCUUAGGUAGUGUUUUGAUUGUGUCAAAUUCUAUAUUUAGUGACAACUUAGAAUGACUUCAUGGGCAGGCAGUCCCCUUUCUUGUUGGGUCCCUCCACCCAGCAGAUGCAGAAGUUUCCCCAGAAAUCAAAUAGAUACUUCACCUUGUGUACCAAAGGCUUCCAGCCACUGGGUGUCAUCGCUCUGUGCUAAUUGUGUUUUGUAAAGUCUUUCGAGGACAGGCCUUGUUGGCUAGUCACAGUCUUAUAACAGGCUCCAGGAGACAGAGCUGCUACUCCCAAAACCCAUCUGACUUUACUUUUUCCUUGAGAUUUUUACUUCACUAAACCCUUUUCCAAAUCUUUUUACCUUCAUGUUAUUGACAGAAUGUUUAGUUCAAUGUUUAGGUGAAUUUGCAAUAAAGAGGCAAUCAGUGGGCAACUACAAAAACAUUAGGUUCUUGGUUUUUCUUCAGUUAUCUUUUAUUAUGUGAUAAUUGACUGGAACUUACGGUUUACUAAAAAACUAAAAGUCCCUGUGUUGAAUAUAAGGACUGUUUUACAUAUACUUAAAUAUAUUCUAUGACACAAUAUUUUUUUACACUAUGGAAUAUAUUUCUUUCUGGAGACAAAGGCAUAGAGGGGUGUGGUUCAAUGAUGGGAACUCUGGGACUCUGAGCACUCCAGUCCUCAUCCUUGGUCAGUCACAUUAGCCUCAGAAUCUCACCUUACAGCCCAUUUUUCACAUAUGUAAAAGAGAGAUAAUAUUUAUCUACCUACCUCAUAGGGAUGUUGUGAAGGUUGAUUGCAGUUCUCAAAGUAUGCUGACACUUGAUAACUAGUAUUAGCACAAAGGAGAUCUGUGUGUGGCCCUGGAAUAGACUAUGGUGAAGGAGGUGGAGCCAGCUGAGAAACACAACAGCAAUAACUCACCAGACGAGGCAUGUAAUUAUUCUUGAUUGCUUAAUGAAAGUGAAACUUUUUCUUCGAAGGUCUACAUAGAAUUUUGUUUUAAUUAUCAACUUUUUAAUGAGAAAAUUGACUCCUUUCAUACAAACAUUAAGAAGCUUCAUAUAGAAUGACAGUUUUCCUCUUAGAUAAACUAAAUUUUACAAAACAUUUCAUAGAUGUGUCCAGAAAACUUGGCUCCUUCUGAUGAGUAAGGAGGUUGCAUGCAUGCCUGAUCCCAAGCUACAUUUUUCAGAACGCGUGCAUGAUACCAGAGUUCAAUACUAAUUGCCAAGUGGUAUUCUGGAACGCUCACUACCAGGAGGGAACAUUUUUAAUAGAUCCUACUGAAAUUAGAUUUUUGUGUUGUUUACAGUGAGAUCCUCUUUCAGCCCUAACAUGAUAUAUCUCUCCCUUUACAACCCAGUGAAAGAAUGUAAAGCUUUAUUUCUACUUGGAACUCCUGAGUUGAUUAAUUUUUCAGAUUAUAAAUAUGUAUUAAAUAUUUCAAAGAAGUGUUUACACAAGGGCUUCAGCUACACAUAUACAUAUAUGCUUACAUGUACACAGAUAGGAGUACUGCUAAAGGACAAAGGGUGGGAAAAGCACCACAAGAUUAUCCUGGAAAACUUCCCCUCAAAGUAACAUGUUUUCUUUUGCUUUAAUAGCUAGUCCUGGUAAUAACUAGUGCUAAAUAACAUGAUUUGUCAUUUUUGAGACAUGGAGGCAAUAUUGUAUAGUAAGAAUACACCCAUGAACUAUACUAACAAUGCAGAUAAUGUUUUAAUGAUAUGACUUCAUGAAGCAAAGUUGUUGUACAUAAAUAUUAUCAUUCUGCCCUUAUUUAAUAAUUAUAUUCCUUUGCAAAACAAAUGUGCAUGCUCUUGAAAAUAUGAAAUAAGUUUUCAGAAAGUUUAUCUUGAUAAGUGGGUUUAAAAUCAUGUUGUACCUGGAGUUGACAUAAUGUAUACAUUCAACACAAUUUUUCUGGAUUCCAAAAUCUAGUUGGCAGUGGUAUAUCAAAGGCUUAAAAUUUCAGAUUGGUUGAACAUUUCUAAUGCAUGGUAUUAAGCUUUCAGAAGCAUGAAUCUAACCUAGGCAAUUAACCUGAUCCAUUAAAAAAAUUAUGUCAUCAUGCCAGACUUAAGAUAAGUCUUUUUAUUUUUUUAGAUUCAAAAUAUGAGAAUAGUGAGUCAGAAUAAUUUGGAAUUCUCUGAUUUUUUUUUCCAGUUCCUAGCAUCAAUACUUUUACAAUCAAAAGUGUGGCAGAAAAUCCUUAUUGCUAUGUAGGGAAAUAUCCAUGUCCUUCCUUUGUUUUUGCACAAGAAAACCGAAGUUGACUAGAUGCAAGGGCCUGGAAGUAGGAAAAGGCGUGACAAUUUUCAGGUGGACUAGCCGGGAAGAAAUGAGGGCUGUGGACAGAAUAUGUGGUUGUGAGAUUUUACCACAAAAGAGCAAAAACAAAACCUAACAGUGUUAGAGCUGGACAAUUUUUUGAAAUGGUAGAAUCUAAAUUUUAGAAGAAAAAUCAAGGGGAGACAACAUGUUAUUAGACAUAAGCUAUACAUCUAAUUACCGGGGGAAAAGACAUUCGAAUGCCCCAUGUAUUUUACUCUUUUUAAGACUUUCCAGCCCCCAUGAAACUCUCCCGAGUCUUCCCUGAAAAUAAGGGACUCUUAGAAAACUAGUUUUUAGCAAAGAUAAAUGUGAUUACACAGCCGUGAAGCCGUCAUUAUGUAAUCCUCAUGCGUGUGAUGCUUUUUUAAAUGUAGUUGUCAACUUUCAUGACUACUUCCAGUUAAUAUUUUAUCCCAUAAACAAAUGGUUAAAAAAACAAACAAACAUGGAAAAUUCUCUUGCUCAAAAGAAGUGACUCUCUUUUCAUAUCUAGAUGAUAUGAAAUAGCUGAAAAAUGGAGCUUUUGGUCGAUUGCUUAUUGAAGGUCCCAUCUGAAGCCUCUCUUUAGUAAAGAGGCCAGGCAGGAAGAGAGAGGACCUUGGAUGAGAACCUUGCUCUACCAAAUUGUUCCUGCUUUUCUUCUCAGUUACCAGGCAGUUCAGGAAGUAGCCGAGAGAGAGAGAGAGAGAGAGAGAGAGAGAGAGAGAGAGAGAGAGAUGAUGAUGAUGAUGAUGAUGGAGGAUACGCAAAUUUGGUUUUUCCCAUUCUCAGAACAAGGAGAGUAACCAGUGAGCCAGAGGUUCCCUCCCCCUUUAAAGCCAAAUAGAAUAAUGAAUUUAGAGCUAAGACAAAAAUGCUGUACAAGUAAGCACAAAAUCAUCCUUCCUAUUAUUUUCUCAGUUUUUACUAAAUUCUUCUUACAGUUUAGAUCAGAAGUUUCUGUUGAUAAUAACUAAUGCCACUUUAUGUUAUAGCUUCAAUGAGGAAAUGAUGAAAGCAUGAGUUAUAAACAAAAUUGCUGGGGAUACAGACUUCUUUUGUACAGACAUCUUACCAAGCAAGCAAAUUGGAAACAAAUACUAUUACCACUAAUAUUCUGGUUAAAUUAAUAAUAUCUAAUAGGAAAACAGAAGCAUUUUGCUCAGCAUUAUACCACUGUAAAACGUAAACCUGCUUCCAAAUGACAAGGAUUUUUGCUACUGACAUUUGUUCUUCAUUCUCCAGUUAUUUUAAGUAAGUUUCACAUCUAACUACCUCAGCUACUGUUGUUUAAUUUAGAAACAUGAAAUCAUGCACUUUGUAACCAACAAUUUUUUUAUUUACAAUUUCAAAAGGAUACUUGGUGCAAAGCAAUUUUCAAAAAUUUGUAUAUGACAUAAGCAACUCAGCCUCAGAGGUUGUACUUCAUUUUGUUCGUUUGUUUCUAAAUUCAAUUUGGGGUAAAAUCCUCACUUCCACUCAACACCAAGGGAAGCUGCUCUAUAUUUGCUUAAUUUGCCUUAAACAUUUUGUGCUCCUUUCCCUGUUCUGUUUGUUUUUUUUUCGUUUAAAAUCUAUCUCUGAAAAGAAAAUGUAACAGGUGGCAGAUGAACAGCAAACUGAAGAGAAUGGACAAAUCAUUUCUCAGUUCCCUGUUGUCAACUCUCUGCAUGACAUUCUGAUUACGCGGAAUUGCCAUCCCUGUGUUUCUCUCUCCUGUGACCAUUACAGAAAUAAGGUCUGAGAGACCCUGUGUGUGUGUUUAGGGAAUGGUGUAGACAUUUCCCCCAGUACGAGCACAGUGCCUGGACCCGAAUGAUAAUCUUGGCAGUUCUUGUGCUUUUACUUUGUGAACAUUGUACAAAUGUAUUUGGAAUUUUAUUUGAAAUGAAGAAUUAAACUAGUUAUUAAUUUUUUUCCUUCUUGUAAAUAUAUAUAUAUAUAUAUAUAUAUUCAAACUCCAUGUAUCCAAACAUUCCUUUAGCAUUCAGAGUGUAAGAGUGUCUUUAUUGGCUAGAGGCCACUGUCUCUGGGCCACAAUCCCAUGUGCUCUAGUGGAAAGCACAGUAUGUGGAGUAUUUGAUGUACUACAGUACCAUGGUUAUUUUGGUCUGUUAAGUAAGUUGCAAUUUGUGAUGAAAUGAAGUGGAAAGUAGUGCUUCAUAAUGAACAAAUUUCCUUGGUUACAUGAUUUUUCUUGUAAAACUUUUUAAAAAAAAACUUGAAAUUUUAUAUAUUUGGAUUUUGUAGAUUUUUUUUUAUUUUAUUGCAACACAAGGUACCAAAAUCAUUAAAUAAAGUACACUGUGGUCAUUUUAAAAGAAGUCUGAGUCCCUGAUUCUUUCUAAGUCUAGAAAGAGCAGGACACUGGGGGUCUAAGAUCGGAAGAUAGGAGGAGAAGGCAUAUUCAAAAAC